CUGUGUCUAGCCAGGUCUAGCUCAGCUGAAGCUUUCUGUCUUCCUCAGCCUCUCUCUGCCUCCACAUCUCUGUUCCAGACGGAGGAUGCAAUUUUCUCAAGCCUGCCCGGAUUGCCACUCAUAGGAUCAUUCUUUAACUCAUUUCGCUCAAAAUGAGCCUGCUUAUUUUAAGCAGUGUAGGGUACGAUUCCAUGGCAGUUUCAGAUGAUCUAAAUCCCGACUUGUCCCGCCCCCUCCUCCCAUUCCAGCUCUGUGUUCCCGUCUCUUUUCCUGUGCUGGCACUUUGCUGCGUCUCGCACAGGGCAUUGCCAGCGAGGCUGCUUUGGGCUGUACAGUGUUUAUAUUGGAGUAGUGCUCCAGGGCCCCAGAAAUGAAGAAAUUAACUGCUCUGCAGACAUUUAUGAAGAAAUUGUCACACCACCGUAGUGCUCCUUCCUGCUCCACUGCUACAAGCUGUACCACAGUGCAGCAAAGAAUUUAAUGGUUUCUGAAGGAAGUGUGUGAGGAAACCUGGCUCUUCAGCCUCACCAGGUAGCUGUUGGGAAGAAGGGAGAGAGGGGAGGAAAGAGAGGAGGCUGGGAUUUCUGAGAUUGCAUCCGUACUUUAAGGAGUUGUUGAAUACAGCAUCUCACAUGUAUCUUGCUCAUCCUCUGGCACUCCUGAGAAAGCAGUAGCUGCCACUGCGGUUUGUGAAGUGGCUGAUGCUGCAGGCUAAGCAGUAUGUACUGGCUGGAUCCAUCCCCUCAGAUGAAGAAGAACUUGGACAGGCUUGUGCAAAGCUGCUCAAUUUUGCCUAGGACGAGGAAUUUUUUUUUUAACAUACCAGAACACAACUCUGGAUGGGAUGCCUGUGAAGUCAGACACAUUCAGAGUAAAAUAGCUUGUAGGUCUGACCACCCUAAAUCCACCGAAGUCCUCACGUAGGCAUACGUGUCCCCAUCCGCCCUUGCCGUGAGACGUGCCUGGGGCAGGCACACCCACUGGGGCUUUCCAGCCACUGAAAUGCAGCGGCCGCCAGUUCUUUUUGUGCCCUUAAUUUUGUACCUUUAUGGUGACUGGGGCCCUCAGCCAGUGGGAGCUGGUGUGACCAUGUGUGACCACAGGCCAGGUUCAGCUGGGGUGCAGAGGGAGCCCCGCUGAUGGAUGGGUUGAGCCGGUCCUCUCCGGAGCAGCGAGGCUGCAGGCGGGGACCCUCCGCUUGGGUCAGGACACUGCCAAGGUCACUCCUCAAGCUUGAGAGCCCUCGCCAUGUUGGGUGAGUGAUUCUGCAUUUUGGGUCAUCGUUCUCAAGUUUAGCGAUUCUGAAGUUGGCUGUGCGGUAAUAGUAGUAGUUCCAUUUGGCAGACACCUGAACCUGGAGUUUACUAACAUUUGUCAGGGUGCUAAGCAAUUUUUAUUAGACUAAAUCUCAUCUCGAAGACCUGCCUCAUCUAUUUUGAGGGCCUCUGUGACAAUGCCCGACUGAUGAUCCUGUGAAGCCUCUUGAUCCAGCUGUGUGCAGAGCCUGGUCUAACAUAACUCAGCAGGUGCUGCCUUUUGCACCAAGGAGAUAAUCCAGUUUCCUACUUCUGACUUUUGUAGAUCGGCACGAUGCUUUGCAAACCAGGACAGAAGAUACAAACUUACAUAGCGUGUGUCUUAAUUUUCAGCAGAUAGAAACUUUUCAUGGAAACUUGGAAACUGAUCUGAAUAUGAAAUGGUAACCCAAAACUAAAAUGUUCCAUCUUAUAAUCAGACUCCUAAAUCUCCCAAGCUUCCACACUGAUCCUACAGUAUUACACUAAGCUUUCAUUUCAUAUCCUUCUGGAAAACUCAGUACAACUUCCUCUGUUUUUUAAAGAAAAUUUAUUACAAGAUCUGCUUAGUUCUUUCCACUACCAUAAAGGGACGACGCAGUCAGUAAAGCCUUCAUUUAUUGCCAUUUUCUUUUCGGCUAAGUGUUUGAAAAGGAUGAAACUGGGGCAGACGAAGGCCUGUAAACCAUUUACUCCCUAAUUUUAAAGGCUCAAGAAGAAUUUAUGUGAUGCGUAGGUUUUAUGCUGGCUGUGUCCACAUGUGAGAAAAUUCUAUCCAUAUGGAUUCUCGUUCAAGCUGUCUAGACCUCCUCUGUUGCCAUUACUUUGUAAAACCUCUCUUUGCAGUGUCACCUUCGUCCUAACUUAAAGCUGCUAAACAGCGAUUACAGCAAACAUCUUUGCCAGGGGGGUGUGUACAUCAGUUGGAAGAGUGUGUACCUGCAAUCUCUAGGUUUUGAAGGAUUUUGAAGAACUAAAGACCAUGGGAAAUGAGUGUGAUAAGGCUCACUGUGAGAUCUUAUGGAAGAGGAAUGAGAUUUUAUAAACAAAAUCUCUGUAAAGAGCUGACUGUCUCCCUUUAUGUUUUCACACUCAUAUACUCAGAAGCACCAAAAUGUGUGUGUUCAGAUGGUCUGGCCAAGAUCACGUGUGUGAUCGUACAGAGGAUAAGGGUGCUGCUUAAGUCUUCCUUGUGCCUCUGGGUUUCUUGAUUGACAGCUGGUUUUGGACUUGCUUUUUAUACUUUCUAGGAGGGAAUGAUAUUUGGGAUACUCUGCACCACUAUUUUGUUUCACCCUUCAUGAAUUCAUGUAUGUCUUGCCUUUGGGUGUUUUAUGGCUCUGGACUUGUUCUUUGUCUUGUUUGAUACCUUCUCUGAACAUUUUGUUCCUAUCAAAUAUAGUUAGAAGCCUGACCCAGUAAGCAGACCCCAUUUACUCUCUGACUUUAGGAUUCUGCCCUGUUUCACAGAGUCAUUAGUGGAACAAAGCCAAAAGGACAUUCAGUUACUUGCUGAAGUCUGAAAGGCCAGUAUUUCAAAACUGCAGUGUGUGCUAUUAACAAGGAUGAAUCCUUUGGCAAUGUAUCCUUUCUACUGCAAAAUACUUGCCAUGUGGAACUUAAGACCCUUAUUACAAAUUCAUGAAUGAUUUUAAUGCAUCCUGGCAGCUUUCAUAAGCAUUGCAGUCAUCUGGAAGCAAAAAAGAUCAUUGGCUUGUGCAAAAUAAUACAGCUAUGCUCAUAUUUGAUCUAGCUCUCUAGUGGGAAAGGAAUACUUAAACUUUUUUAAAAAAAAUAAUCAGGAAACAUUUCUACUAUAUUAUAUCUCACCAAUCUAUUUAGAAGUCAUGUUCAAUAAGAGAUAAUAACUCAAUGCAGAGCAUCAAUAGAAGAAAAAAAGAUGUCCAAAAGUGCACAGUCCUUGAUGUGUUGGAGGAGUUGUAAAAACAUGUUGUAAAAUUUAACUACCAGUCAUCAGAAAAUAACAAUCUAAUAGGAAAAUCUGACUAUCAAGAAGUCCUUUCAUUUCUUCAUAAUAUUUUAAACACUUUCCCCAAAAUGUGAGUUUCCCUUUGAGCACUCUUAACUUAAAGGUACUGUUGCAGAGACAAAGCUGUGGGAAAGGAAAUCGGAUAUGAGAGUGAGCAGCUUUUAUUUCCCUGGGGCACUGUGGUGCAAAAUGAUGUCAACAGGUAACUUCUACUGUGGUAGAUGUUUGAAGGAAUACCCAAUAGCUGAUUUUUAGUACAAUUUUCAUAAUGUUAUUUUUCCUAGUAAGCAGCUGUUCUGGAAAUAAAAGAGAUUACAAGACAGAGAAGCAGCAUGCAUGGGAGAGGAUGCACUGAAGUGAGUCGUGUUCCAGAGCUGCAGUGUAUAAUACAGUCAACUCUGAUGUAAGGCCAAAACUAAAGAUUCAAACUUUCAAAAUUCUGUCUCGUAUUUCUAUAGAGCCAAACACGGCCAAGCUUUGGGUAGGGCUCCUAAAUGCUAUCCAAUCUCUUCCUUCUGUAGGUCGAACAGGUUUGUCCCACUUGCUCAGGUUUGCAAAAGGAACUCAUGUAAAGAAAGCUUAUAGUUAGUCUCUUCCCAGUUUGCCAUGCAGAAGUUACAGUUUUACAGCUUGCUUUGCCACUGAUAAAUAAUAUCAAUAAGAAGUAAUAAUAAUCAGAAUUAGGCAUCCUCCCUCUCUGUUCAGUCAUGAGUAAUUUGCAUUGAGGGGUACCAAAGAACAGCAUAAUGAAAUCACCCUCAGGCAGCUAAUAGUCUGAAGAAAUCAAGUCUGUGCAUAAACGACAAAAACAAACAAAACCAAAAAAAGACACCCAUGCCUGAAACAGAGCAACAAACUGGGAAAUAUUUAGGUUGGUUUAUAUUUAUUUACAAAUGUUGGUAGCAGAUGGUUACCAACAUUUCAUCAGUAUGGCUGUUAAAGCAACUUAAAAGCUGUAGCAAACGGCACAAUUUAUGUAGCAGCUCGCCUUCUUUAGCCCACUCUUACUUGUGUUACUCAGAACAGCUGCCAUUGCAAUUUAUCACACAGCUAAAUAGCUAAAAAAGGAAAUACAUGCAAGUGCAAAACCAGGAAAGCAGCAUGACUGUCCAAAACUAGGGAUUGGUGGUUUCUCCAUCACAGGUGCCUGUUUUGAGUGAUAGUUCUGUGCACAAACAGUCAUUUUCAGAAGAUUUCUUCCUCUUCUAAGCACAGAGUGAACCUUGCUUAUUAAAGUUUGUAGAGGCCACAGAUGCAGACACGACCUUAGCUGCUAGGUAGGCAUCAUUUAUCUCACCGUUCUCUUUUUAAGAGAGUAUAUUUAGCAGAUGAACUAAACUAGUCUGCUUUUUUUUCCCCUCAUUGGCAUUUUAUUUUCAUGCAACAUCCAAGCUGGCUAAGACAAGUUGAUGACUGACAGAUGAAGGUGGCUAGUCAAAUAGAUGACUACGAUACAUAUUUUUUAAAAAAUACUGUCUAAAAAAAAUAAAUAAAUACAAAUGGGGGUCUCCACUGAAUUUUCCAAAAAGAAGGCCUCACACCUGAGAAUGUCGCAUCUAGAGUUGCCAUACAGGAUAUACAGUUUUUGUACACCUGUCACUGAAACAGUUUAAUUCAACUGGGCUCCUCUCUCUUGGAUACCCAAUUCUCUCACAAAUUCAAGAAGAAAGUUGAUGGCUUCAUGGGCAGCUGGAUGGAGCUAUGUGUGAUACCGAAGUGGAGAUAGAAGAAAACAUCAAUUAUCUCACCAUAAAGGGGCUGGGCAAUACAAUGAGCCGUGAUUUAAAAAUGGAAACGCAAAUGCUUGCUUUGUAAAUAUUUAUCACAAAUCAGACUUUCCUGUUUGAGCAAGUGAUAAGGGACAGGGUAGUCUCUUGUUAAGGAGAAUAUUGGUGUAGAUGGUCCAGAGAAGACGCUUCCACCACCACCAUUUCACUGCCUGACUUGGCCUCACAGCCUGACCGGUGUCAGAAACCUCCAGCCAGCCAGAGUUCAAAGUGUGUGGGUGUGCGCGUUUGUGCCUGAGAAGGCAUUACUGACUGUACGCUUGCAAGCUGAAAGAAGUACUGACUACAUUCAUUUGUUCCUUGCUGGGAAAAUUCUGUGUACAGUGGCGAUGCGACGGCAUAAAAAACAGGUGGAGUCUGAACUGGAAACGGGUGUAGUUUCUGCUGAUUUAAUUGAUUAUAUUAAAAAUACUAAGAGACUGAGAAAAAA